AGUGAACGCUGGCGGUAGGCCUAACACAUGCAAGUCGAACGGCAGCACAGUAAGAGCUUGCUCUUACGGGUGGCGGGUGGCGGACGGGUGAGGAAUACAUCGGAAUCUACUUUUUCGUGGGGGAUAACGUAGGGAAACUUACGCUAAUACCGCAUACGACCUACGGGUGAAAGCAGGGGAUCUUCGGACCUUGCGCGAUUGAAUGGGCCGAUGUCGGAUUAGCUAGUUGGCGGGGUAAAGGCCCACCAAGGCGACGAUCCGUAGCUGGUCUGAGAGGAUGAUCAGCCACACUGGAACUGAGACACGGUCCAGACUCCUACGGGAGGCAGCAGUGGGGAAUAUUGGACAAUGGGCGCAAGCCUGAUCCAGCCAUACCGCGUGGGUGAAGAAGGCCUUCGGGUUGUAAAGCCCUUUUGUUGGGAAAGAAAAGCAGCAGGUUAAUACCCCGCUGUUCUGACGGUACCCAAAGAAUAAGCACCGGCUAACUUCGUG
rnacentral:rRNA from 1 species